AUACGGAGGAUCCGAGCGUUAUCCGGAUUUAUUGGGUUUAAAGGGUGCGUAGGUGGUUUGAUAAGUCAGCGGUGAAAGUUUGCAGCUUAACUGUAAAAAUGCCGUUGAAACUGUCGGACUUGAGUGUACAUGAGGUAGGCGGAAUGCGUGGUGUAGCGGUGAAAUGCAUAGAUAUCACGCAGAACUCCGAUUGCGAAGGCAGCUUACUAAGCAACAACUGACACUGAAGCACGAAAGCGUGGGGAUCAAACAGGAUUAGAUACCCUGGUAGUCCACGCAGUAAACGAUGAUUACUAGCUGUUUGCGAUACACAGUAAGCGGCACAGCGAAAGCGUUAAGUAAUCCACCUGGGGAGUACGCCGGCAACGGUGAAACUCAAAGGAAUUGACGGGG
rnacentral:rRNA from 1 species